rnacentral:misc_RNA from 1 species
UUUCCGUAGGUGAACCUGCGGAAGGAUCAUUAUCGAAUUUCGAGGGGAAGGAAGAUGAGGAGUGGAGACUGUCUCUGGCUUUCCCGCCUGGGCAGCAUGUGCAAGCCUUGAUUUUCGUUGACCUUUCUCUUACUCUCACGCCUGUGCACCCAUUGUAGGUCCUCGAAAGAGGAUCUAUGUUUUUAUCAUCACACGCAUCGUAUGUCCAUAGAAUGUAACAUGAACGUCGAUCGACCUCGCGGUCGCGUAGCGGUCUAAAUAAAUAAAUACAACUUUCAGCAACGGAUCUCUUGGCUCUC